GUGCCAGCAGCCGCGGUAAUACAGAGAGUGCGAACGUUGCUCGGAAUAACUGGGCGUAAAGCGCGUGUAGGCGGCCUGGUAGGUCGACUGCGAAAGCCCACGGCUCAACCGUGGAAGUGCAGUCGAAACCGCCAGGCUCGAGUCCCGGAGAGGGUGGCGGAAUUCCCAGUGUAGAGGUGAAAUUCGUAGAUAUUGGGAGGAACACCGGUGGCGAAGGCGGCCACCUGGACGGGUACUGACGCUGAGACGCGAAAGCGUGGGGAGCAAACAGGAUUAGAUACCCCCGUAGUCC
rnacentral:rRNA from 1 species